rnacentral:rRNA from 1 species
GCAAGUCGAACGAGGUCCAUGCGGUGGCAACACCGCGGAAGACCUAGUGGCGAACGGGUGAGUAACACGUGAGGAACCUGCCCCGAAGACCGGGAUAACCCUCCGAAAGGAGAGCUAAUACCGGAUGUCCCCACCGAGCCGCAUGGUUUGGUGAGGAAAUGGAUUCCGCUUCGGGAGGGCCUCGCGGCCUAUCAGCUAGUUGGUGAGGUAACGGCUCACCAAGGCAUCGACGGGUAGCUGGUCUGAGAGGACGAUC